rnacentral:rRNA from 1 species
AGACGAAUCAUCUGGAAAGAUGAAUCAAAGAAGGUAAUAAUCCUGUAGUCGAAAAUGUUGUCUCUCUUGAGUGGAUCCUGAGUACGACGGAGCACGUGAAAUUCCGUCGGAAUCUGGGAGGACCAUCUCCUAAGGCUAAAUACUCUCUAGUGACCGAUAGUGAACCAGUACCGUGAGGGAAAGGUGAAAAGCACCCCGGAAGGGGAGUGAAAUAGAACCUGAAACCGUGUGCUUACAAGUAGUCAGAGCCCGUUAAUGGGUGAUGGCGUGCCUUUUGUAGAAUGAACCGGCGAGUUACGAUUUGAUGCAAGGUUAAGCAGUAAAUGUGGAGCCGUAGCGAAAGCGAGUCUGAAUAGGGCGUUUAGUAUUUGGUCGUAGACCCGAAACCAGGUGAUCUACCCUUGGUCAGGUUGAAGUUCAGGUAACACUGAAUGGAGGACCGAACCGACUUACGUUGAAAAGUGAGCGGAUGAACUGAGGGUAGCGGAGAAAUUCCAAUCGAACCUGGAGAUAGCUGGUUCUCUCCGAAAUAGCUUUAGGGCUAGCCUCAAGUGAUGAUUAUUGGAGGUAGAGCACUGUUUGGACGAGGGGCCCCUCUCGGGUUACCGAAUUCAGACAAACUCCGAAUGCCAAUUAAUUUAACUUGGGAGUCAGAACAUGGGUGAUAAGGUCCGUGUUCGAAAGGGAAACAGCCCAGACCACCAGCUAAGGUCCCAAAAUAUAUGUUAAGUGGAAAAGGAUGUGGCGUUGCCCAGACAACUAGGAUGUUGGCUUAGAAGCAGCCAUCAUUUAAAGAGUGCGUAAUAGCUCACUAGUCGAGUGACACUGCGCCGAAAAUGUACCGGGGCUAAACAUAUUACCGAAGCUGUGGAUUGUCCUUUGGACAAUGGUAGGAGAGCGUUCUAAGG